ensembl:lncRNA
CUCUGUUCCUAUCAACAGCCUGAUCUCCUUGGUCUGUUGCUAAGAGACCAGCCUGUUGUUUACAAGAUCGUCGGUGGCGUAGACGUCCAUAAUUUAUAAUUUAUUAUCUUAGUGUCAAAACUUGGGUUGGUUUUUAUUUUGUUUCACCGUAGAUCCAAUAAUUGUUAGAUACAACAAAGGUCACCUAUGUGCCAGUGGUUCUGUUGUUGCUCUGAUAGCUUCCCUGGCUGCCCCAAGCUUAGAUGCUGUGGAAAAAAAUGCUAUUAUAAACUGAAGAUGAGUAUCAUUUUUUGUCCAUUAACUUCAUGCAUUAUAUGACUGCUCAGGUCAAUGGAUUCCCUCCAGAUUUGCUCACUACUGAAAGCAUGUUUCUGUCCAACCAAGAAAGAAAUGAAUUGAAAUGAUUUCAAUUAUCACAAGAAAGGAAUUGAGUCUUCUGACUGUAUAUUUCAGCACCCAACUCACCAAUUCUCUCUCCACAAAGUUCAGGGCCAGAGACAUUUAACCAGCACUAGAAAUUACCCCUGAGCAUUGUCGGGUAUGGUGAGCUCACAAAACUCCCUUUGGAGAGUCCUCCACUCACAGCAAGUCAAUCAACCCAGUAAGGAAGUGAUGACACAGAAGAAAGAGAGGCAUUUAAGUAAAACCAGCUCAAUCACAAUACCCCAGCCUAAAGAAAAAGAAGAGACAGUUCAAGUGUUAUAAUCAAGAUCAAUGCUAACAUUUAUAGUGCCAGGCACAAGGCUGAGUGCUUAACCUGGACUAGCAUGCAAAGCUCCUGACAAACUUAUGAGGAAAAUUCUAGUAUUAGCCCCAUUGUAGAGACAACAAAACCAGAACUUUAUAACCUUCAAUAAAAGGCAGGACUGAACUGAGACUGUGUCCCUGGAUACAUCAUUCUCAUAGAAAUUAAAAAAUAAAAAAACCAGCUUGGGCUUUGUAAUUUACUGUCUAUGAACAGUCCACAGACAUUUGAUGGAGCAGGGAAAUUAACAUAGGUUCCAAAAUCAUAUCAUCACAUUAUCUUUCCCUGCAGU